GGGACCAUGGCGCAGCUAGUUAGCGCGCAGGUCUCAUGUUUCCGCACAUGAUCUGAUUAAACAUCAGAGUUAGCCUUAGGUCGUGAGUUCGAUCCUCACUGGUCCCA
rnacentral:tRNA from 1 species